rnacentral:rRNA from 1 species
AUUGAACGCUGGCGGCAGGCCUAACACAUGCAAGUCGAACGGUAACAGGAAGACGCUUGCUUCUUUGCUGACGAGUGGCGGACGGGUGAGUCAUGUCUGGGAAACUGCCUGAUGGAGGGGGAUAACUACUGGAAACGGUAGCUACUACCGCAUAACGUCGCAAGCCCAAAGAGGGGGACCUUCGGGCCUCUUGCCAUCGGAUGUGCCCAGAUGGGAUUAGCUAGUAGGUGGGGUAACGGCUCACCUAGGCGACGAUCCCUAGCUGGUCUGAGAGGAUGACAAGCCACACUGGAACUGAGACACGGUCCAGACUCCUACGGGAGGCAGCAGUGGGGAAUAUUGCACAAUGGGCGCAAGCCUGAUGCAGCCAUGCCGCGUGUAUGAAGAAGGCCUUCGGGUUGUAAAGUACUUUCAGCGGGGAGGAAGGGAGUAAAGUUAAUACCUUUGCUCAUUGACGUUACCCGCAGAAGAAGCACCGGCUAACUCCGUG